AACGUAGGAGGCGAGCGUUAUCCGGAUUUACUGGGCGUAAAGCGCGCGUAGGCUGUUGAGUAAGUCGGACGUGAAAGCCCCUGGCUCAACUGGGGGAGGCCGUUCGAUACUGCUCGGCUUGAGGGUGAGAGGGGAAAGUGGAAUUCCCGGUGUAGCGGUGGAAUGCGUAGAGAUCGGGAGGAACACCAGUGGCGAAGGCGGCUUUCUGGCUCACCCCUGACGCUGAUAGCGCGAAAGCGUGGGGAGCAAACAGG
rnacentral:rRNA from 1 species